rnacentral:rRNA from 1 species
GAUGAACGCUGGCGGCGUGCUUAACACAUGCAAGUCGAACGGAAAGGCCCAAGCUUGCUUGGGUACUCGAGUGGCGAACGGGUGAGUAACACGUGGGUGAUCUGCCCUGCACUUCGGGAUAAGCCUGGGAAACUGGGUCUAAUACCGGAUAGGACCACAUUUUGGAUGGUGUGGUGGAAAGUUUUUCGGUGUGGGAUGAGCUCGCGGCCUAUCAGCUUGUUGGUGGGGUAAUGGCCUACCAAGGCGUCGACGGGUAGCCGGCCUGAGAGGGUGUACGGCGACAUUGGGACUGAGAGACGGCCCAGACGCCUACGGGAGGCAGCAGGGGGGAAUAUUGCACAAUGGGCGCAAGCCUGAUGCAGCGACGCCGCGGGGGGGAUGACGGCCUUCGGGUUGGAAACUCCUUUCGCUAGGGACGAAGCGUUAUGUGACGGUACCUGGAGAAGAAGCACCGGCUAACUACGUG